AAUAAAAUGGGUAGAUACCUUACCCUAACAUGUCAUAAGUGAAAAAUCACAACUCUCAUUUCUUUAUACAGAGCUAGAGAAGGAAUUACAAGAACAAAAACUAUAACUAGAAAGAGAAACUUCAGUUUUUUUUGUAAAAAAAAUCCUAAACUAGAGACUUGAAGCAAUUAGUUGACAGAGAUCACUAUUUGCUUCAACACUUAAAAAGAGGAGAGUAAGUAAGACUGACAGAGGACAAGCGAGAGAUCAUUAAGAUGUUGCUUCUUACAAUAACAUAUUAUUUAGGCGAAAUAGUCUGGUGGACUCUUGUACUUGUAUCAAUUUGUAUUUUGAACCCUUUUACUUAUCUAUUUGUCAUCUAUACUCUUAGACUCAACGAAACACAAGAUAUCAGACCCUUUUGACCAUUGACCACACUUAUGUGGCUUUAAGAUGGUUGAAUUGGUGAAAGUGUGUGAUUUCACACUCCUUAAGACGAGUGAGUAACAUAUUUCAGUUUUAAAAAUAUUAAUAAUAAAAUAAUACAAAAAGUAAAAAUAAUUAAGAAGACCACAUCUUCUUCACCAUAUUCCACCUUCAACGGCAACCAUCUCCAUUCCCAAUUCUUUUUUUUCUUUCUAUACUCUUGUCAUCAGAUCUUGACAUUGAUACCUUCUUGACUCCAUUGAUUCGCCCCUAAAGGGAGAGGUCGAUAUUAGUGGUGCUCGUCAGAGAAAGUGUGACGGUGAUGGCUAGAUUGGAGGAUCUAGUUACAACAUUAAAGAGAUUUUGGCCAGAUCUGGUGGUAUGGCGUUGACGGACGACAACAGUAGUUUUGUGAUGGUGUGGCGGCUACGGCCAGAUCUGGCAGCGACGGCUAGAUCUGGUGGAGUGACGGCGGAACCUUCAGAAUAAUUUUUUUCUUUUUAGCUUCUAGUAUGGUGUCCUUCAUUUAGUUUUUGCUUCUCAUUUCUACAAAUUUGUGAGACAAUAAAUUUGAUAAUUUUGAUGGGUAAAAAAUAAUUGUUAAAUCAAUAUUUGAAUAUAUUGAGAUAUUUUCAUGGUGAUAAAGUUUGCAUUAAUGGAGAAAAGAGGAUUAUG
rnacentral:misc_RNA from 1 species